AGAGUUUGAUUAUGGCUCAGAUUGAACGCUGGCGGCAUGCCUUACACAUGCAAGUCGAACGCGAAAGUGGGGGCAACCCUGCGAGUAGAGUGGCGAACGGGUGAGUAAUACAUCGGAACGUACCCAGGAGUGGGGGACAACCUCGAGAAAUCGAGGCUAAUACCGCAUACGUCCUGAGGGAGAAAGCGGGGGAUUCGCAAGGACCUCGCGCUCAUGGAGCGGCCGAUGUCGGAUUAGCUAGUUGGCGGGGUAAAAGCCCACCAAGGCGACGAUCCGUAGCUGGUUUGAGAGAACGACCAGCCACACUGGGACUGAGACACGGCCCAGACUCCUACGGGAGGCAGCAGUGGGGAAUUUUGGACAAUGGGCGCAAGCCUGAUCCAGCCAUGCCGCGUGAGUGAAGAAGGCCUUCGGGUUGUAAAGCUCUUUCGGCCGGAACGAAAUCGCGUACGUGAAUAACGUGCGUGGAUGACGGUACUGGAAGAAGAAGCACCGGCUAACUACGUGCCAGCAGCCGCGGUAAUACGUAGGGUGCGAGCGUUAAUCGGAAUUACUGGGCGUAAAGCGUGCGCAGGCGGUUCUGCAAGUCAGAUGUGAAAUCCCCGGGCUUAACCNNNNNACUGCG
rnacentral:rRNA from 1 species